AGCUUGCUAUUUUUAUGAAGAGCGGCGAACGGGUGAGUAACGCGUGGGAAAUCUGCCGAGUAGCGGGGGACAACGUUUGGAAACGAACGCUAAUACCGCAUAACAAUGAGAAUCGCAUGAUUCUUAUUUAAAAGAAGCAAUUGCUUCACUACUUGAUGAUCCCGCGUUGUAUUAGCUAGUUGGUAGUGUAAAGGACUACCAAGGCGAUGAUACAUAGCCGACCUGAGAGGGUGAUCGGCCACACUGGGACUGAGACACGGCCCAGACUCCUACGGGAGGCAGCAGUAGGGAAUCUUCGGCAAUGGGGGCAACCCUGACCGAGCAACGCCGCGUGAGUGAAGAAGGUUUUCGGAUCGUAAAACUCUGUUGUUAGAGAAGAACGUUAAGUAGAGUGGAAAAUUACUUAAGUGACGGUAUCUAACCAGAAAGGGACGGCUAACUACGUGCCAGCAGCCGCGGUAAUACGUAGGUCCCAAGCGUUGUCCGGAUUUAUUGGGCGUAAAGCGAGCGCAGGUGGUUUCUUAAGUCUGAUGUAAAAGGCAGUGGCUCAACCAUUGUGUGCAUUGGAAACUGGGAGACUUGAGUGCAGGAGAGGAGAGUGGAA
rnacentral:rRNA from 1 species